AUCAAGGCAACACUCCAGGUUUGUUUUGAUGAGGGAAUAACUGCAACAUGAUGGAAAAAUUAAAAAGUUGAUUUUAGAUGAUACUGUAACUUUGAUUAGUGGCUUUAAAACGGUUUGCUGGUUCAAACAGCAACAACAGGUUUCAUGCAGGGAAACUAUUGUGUCCUUCUGAGACUCAACAAGGACAAUAAAGGUUAUUUAAUUUCCCUUUGCAACCAAUAAAGUCAUUUUUAAAUUAAAUUUGAAAUGUUGCAGUUUCACCAACUCAAAUUUAAGACUUUUUAAUUUCAUUGGGAAUGAAAUUUAAGACUUGUACAAAAGAUGAUAAACUGCUGAUAAAUUUGCACGUACCCAUUACAUACUUGAAAAAGCUUGCUAGCUGGCUAGCUAGCCCCAAAAGGUAUAUUAGCAGCUAGUUAGCUUUAGCCACAGAAUGCAAUGAAGAUGUCCGCAUACAACUCAAACUUUAGCCUGACAGAAAAAUCCUCAAAAAUAAAAAAAACUAUCUAUGAGAUAAAUAGGCUUUAGAGAGCUGUGGUUCCGGUCUGGAAGUCUGCCCCCUACUGGGCAGAGUGUUUAUAUCUCCGGGUUUUCCGUUUGUUGUAAACAGAAAUACGAAAAACUUGUUCACCCAAUUUUUGUAUUUAAAAAGCAAAAAAGAUGAAUGAUUCAUAAAGAUUCCUCUGUGAUCAAAGUUCAAAUUAUUGAAGUUUGAAGGAAAUUUCCACUUCAGCAUGAAACCUUCCUAUCGGCCGAUUCCGAUAAUCAGCAGAGCAAUCGGUGCAUCCC